rnacentral:rRNA from 1 species
UGGGGAAUUUUGGACAAUGGGGGAAACCCUGAUCCAGCCAUUCCGCGUGAGUGAAGAAGGCCUUCGGGUUGUAAAGCUCUUUCAGCAGGAACGAAACGGUUACGGCUAAUACCCGUGACUACUGACGGUACCUGAAGAAGAAGCACCGGCUAACUACGUGCCAGCAGCCGCGGUAAUACGUAGGGUGCGAGCGUUAAUCGGAUUUACUGGGCGUAAAGCAUGCGCAGGCGGCGGUUCAAGUCAGAUGUGAAAUCCCCGAGCUUAACUUGGGAAUUGCGUUUGAAACUAGAUCGCUAGAGUACGGCAGAGGGGGGUAGAAUUCCACGUGUAGCAGUGAAAUGCGUAGAUAUGUGGAGGAACACCGAUGGCGAAGGCAGCCCCCUGGGCCUGUACUGACGCUCAUGCAUGAAAGCGUGGGGAGCAAACAGG